AUUGAACGCUGGCGGCAUGCCUUACACAUGCAAGUCGAACGGCAGCGCGGGGCAACCUGGCGGCGAGUGGCGAACGGGUGAGUAAUAUAUCGGAACGUACCCAGAAGUGGGGGAUAACGUAGCGAAAGUUACGCUAAUACCGCAUACGCACUAAGGUGGAAAGUGGGGGAUCUUCGGACCUCAUGCUCAUGGAGUGGCCGAUAUCUGAUUAGCUAGUUGGUGAGGUAAAGGCUCACCAAGGCGACGAUCAGUAGCUGGUUUGAGAGAACGACCAGCCACACUGGAACUGAGACACGGUCCAGACUCCUACGGGAGGCAGCAGUGGGGAAUUUUGGACAAAUGGGGGGCAACCCUGAUCCAGCAAUGCCGCGUGAGUGAAGAAGGCCUGGUGUAAGACUCUUUGUUCAGGGAAGAAACGGUAGAGUUCUAAUAAAGACUUAG
rnacentral:rRNA from 1 species